rnacentral:rRNA from 1 species
UACGUAGGUGGCAAGCGUUGUCCGGAUUUACUGGGCGUAAAGAGCGCGCAGGCGGUCGUUCAAGUCGCGUGUGAAAGCCCCCGGCUCAACUGGGGAGGGUCACGCGAUACUGAUCGACUCGAAGGCAGGAGAGGGAAGUGGAAUUCCCGGUGUAGUGGUGAAAUGCGUAGAUAUCGGGAGGAACACCAGUGGCGAAGGCGACUCACUGGCUCGAUACUGACGCUGAGGUGCGAAAGCGUGGGGAGCGAACAGG